UGAGGGGUGGCUCAUUAGUAGAGCACUUGCCUUGUAUACAUGAGGCCCUGGGCUCGAUUCACAGCACAUCUU
rnacentral:tRNA from 1 species